UGGCGGAAUGCUUUACACAUGCAAGUCGAGCAGCAGCGCGGGGCAACCUGGCGGCGAGCGGCGAACGGGUGAGUAAUACAUCGGAACAUGUCCAUUCGUGGGGGAUAGCCCGGCGAAAGCCGGAUUAAUACCGCAUACGCCCUGAGGGGGAAAGCGGGGGACUUCGCAAGAGGCCUCGCGCGAAUGGGUUGGCCGAUGUCCGAUUAGCUAGUUGGUGGGGUAAAGGCUUACCAAGGCGAUGAUCGGUAGCUGGUCUGAGAGGAUGAUCAGCCACACUAGGACUGAGACACAGCCCAGACUCCUACGGGAGGCAGCAGUGGGGAAUUUUGGACAAUGGGGGCAACCCUGAUCCAGCCAUUCCGCGUGAGUGAUGAAGGCCUUCGGGUCGUAAACCCCUUUUGGUGGGAAAGAAACACCCCAAUGUUAAUAGCGUUGGGGUUUGACGGUACCCACAGAAAAAGCCACGGCUAACUCUGUGCCAGCAGCCGCGGUAAGACAGAGGUGGCAAGCGUUGUCCGGAAUUACUGGGCGUAAAGCGCGCGUAGGCGGCUAGAUAAGUCCGGUGUGAAAUCCCACGGCUUAACCGGGGAACGGCAUCGGGGACUGUUUAGCUUGAGGACGGGAGAGGAGAGCGGAAUUCCCGGUGUAGCGGUGAAAUGCGUAGAGAUCGGGAGGAAGGCCGGUGGCGAAGGCGGCUCUCUAGAACGUCC
rnacentral:rRNA from 1 species